UAGUGGAUCUGUGUAGCGACAGGCUCGCGACGGGACUUGUCGGCACAUGGUAGGUAUCCGUCGCUGAUCCUAUCGACGCUCGCGCUCGCAUACAUGAGCCAGUUGGCUUUGAGCAGCCAGCCUUGUUCCUGCCAGAAACCCAGCGCCCAUGUUGAAGCAUGCAUGCUGUCCAACACGUCGGCCUGACCUUGUCACCACCCCCCUUGUAGGCCCCUACUCCGAGAAUGCCACCCCCGCCUACCUGACUGGCGAGUUCCCCGGCGACUACGGCUGGGACACCGCCGGUCUGUCGGCUGACCCGGAGACCUUCAAGCGCUACCGCGAGCUGGAGCUGAUCCACGCCCGCUGGGCUAUGCUGGGCGCUCUGGGCUGCAUCACCCCCGAGCUGCUGGCCAAGAGCGGCACCCAGUUCGGCGAGGCUGUCUGGUUCAAGGCCGGCGCCCAGAUCUUCUCUGAGGGCGGCCUGGACUACCUGGGCAACCCCUCCCUGGUGCACGCCCAGAACAUCGUCGCCACCCUGGCCGUUCAGGUGAGGGGCUAUGGCAGGCGGAUGUGUGAAAGCCGGGUAUGCGAAGAAAGCUAUAUGCGCGAUGCUGUGGGAAGGGUGCAUGAUCUUGGUUGUGCACACAGCGCUCCAGCGUUGCCAGCGGGAGCCACCCAGCCAAAAGCACCGGCGCUACACGUCCUUGUACUCCCUACUUUCACCGCACUAACCGCACCCCUCUGCUUGCCCUGCUCCAUAGGUUAUCCUGAUGGGCCUGGUGGAGGGCUACCGUGUCAACGGCGGCCCCGCCGGCGAGGGCCUGGACCCCCUGUACCCCGGCGAGUCGUUCGACCCCCUGGGCCUGGCUGACGACCCCGACACCUUCGCUGAGCUGAAGGUGAAGGAGAUCAAGAACGGCCGCCUGGCCAUGUUCUCCAUGUUCGGCUUCUUCGUCCAGGCCAUCGUGACCGGCAAGGGCCCCAUCCAGAACCUGGACGACCACCUGUCCAACCCCACCGUGAACAACGCGUUCGCCUUCGCCACCAAGUUCACCCCCUCCGCGUAAAUUCUGUUCUCAUGACUUCAAUCAGUCAGUGAGCGGCAUUUGUUGCGUCUUUUUGAAAGCGUAAGAGCGGACGAAGUGUAUGAGGAGCAAGCGAGAUCGCGUCGCGUCGUGAUGGAGUUGAUGGUGUGAUGCAGGCGGAUGGAGGCGGAGAAUGAUGUGUGCCGUGUGUCGUUUACCUAGAGAAGACAAUUUUUAAACCGCAGCGUUUGUGGUUUACGCGGUCCCGUGGUGCGCGCAAAUGCGUAUGCCCCCCGUGUAAU
rnacentral:lncRNA from 1 species